UUUUUUUUCUUUAUCAUUCGAAGGGCUCAGUCCCACACUCUGACUUCAAUGAUGGGAACAACCUCCGCACUCCGGCGCUCCAAUGAACAACAGUUCUCCGCCUUACUAUAUUUAGAAUAGUGGUCGACCCCUCGGGAGUUACAUUCGUAACUUAAUGUUAUGUUUACGCGGUGAUAUUCUAUCUUUCCAAGAUUACCACCCUGUACGUAGUCUAUGUCUGGGGAGCAUACUUGACAGGAGAUAGACACGGGCGGUAGAGAGGUCCCCCAGCCCCGUUAGCAUCUCCGAUCCGAGAUAAGGGAUUACUCCGUUAGGUCUUUUCGGUCCGGAGCCGGCCGGUAAUUGACCUACUUACCUUGCUUAUGGACCAGCUGCAGAGCUAAGCCUUGUUCUAUUGGUUUGAUGGUUGCUACCAAGACGAUUUCUUUAUGCCCAUCAAAGAACCUCGAGAUGCUAAUCCACGAAAAACGAUACGAGAAAUUCGAAAGAACUCAUAUACGGAACGAGGGCGACCCGUGAAAAUACAUCGGUUUCUUACUCGUGCAAAGGAACUCUUUUUUGGCAACUUGGACAACUUAUAACGAUGUUUGUCCCGCAUAUCACUAGGAGGAUCUUUACAAAAGGCUUUAUAAAGCUUUCGUCUUAGCCGCGAGCAAUCUACGUUUGUGAUCUCGUAUAUUUCGCUUCUCCGACAUCUUACUGACUUUCCCCCUCAUCUUUUUGAAAAAA
rnacentral:misc_RNA from 1 species